GUGCUUGCUUCAGCAGCACAUACACUAACAUUGGAAUGAUAAAGAGACGAUUAGCAUGGCCCCUGAGCAAGGGUGAUACACAAAUUCCUAAAAUGUUCCAUAUUUUU
ensembl:snRNA U6 U6 spliceosomal RNA